GGGCGGCUAGCUCAGUUGGUUAGAGCAUCGCUCUUACAAAGCGAGGGUCAGGGGUUCGAGUCCCUUGCCGCCCA
rnacentral:tRNA from 1 species